UACGCCCGAUCUCGUCCGAUCUCGGAAGCCAAGCAGGGUCGGGCCUGGUUAGUACUUGGAUGGGAGACCGCCUGGGAAUACCAUGUGCUGUAAGCUU
rnacentral:rRNA from 1 species